rnacentral:rRNA from 1 species
CCUACGGGAGGCAGCAGUGAGGAAUAUUGGUCAAUGGACGAGAGUCUGAACCAGCCAAGCAGCGUGAAGGAUGACUGCCCUAUGGGUUGUAAACUUCUUUUAUAUGGGAAUAAAAUGUUCCACGUGUGGGAUUUUGUAUGUACCAUAUGAAUAAGGAUCGGCUAACUCCGUGCCAGCAGCCGCGGUACUACGGAGGAUCCGAGCGUUAUCCGGAUUUAUUGGGUUUAAAGGGAGCGUAGGUGGAUUGUUAAGUCAGUUGUGAAAGUUUGCGGCUCAACCGUACAAUUGCAGUUGAAACUGGCAGGCUUGAGUACAGUAGAGGUGGGCGGAAUUCGUGGUGUAGCGGUGAAAUGCUUAGAUAUCACGAAGAACUCCGAUUGCGAAGGCAGCUCACUGGACUGCAACUGACACUGAGGCUCGAAAGUGUGGGUAUCAAACAGGAUUAGAUACCCGGGUAGUC